rnacentral:rRNA from 1 species
UGAGGAAUAUUGGGCAAUGCCCGCAAGGGUGACCCAGCAACGCCGCGUGGAGGAUGAAUGUCGUAAGAUUGUAAACUCCUGUUAGAGGGGAAGAAUAGUACCGGUUGGACCGGUAUAUGACUGUACCCUCAGAGAAAGCCCCGGCUAACUACGUGCCAGCAGCCGCGGUAAUACGUAGGGGGCAAGCGUUGUCCGGAUUUACUGGGUGUAAAGGGCGCGCAGGCGGGAUAAAAAGUCAGUGGUGAAAUCCUACAGCUUAACUGUAGAACUGCCUGUGAUACUUUUAUUCUUGAGUUCGGGAGAGAGAGACGGAAUUCCAGGUGUAGUGGUGAAAUACGUAGAUAUCUGGAAGAACACCAGUUGCGAAGGCGGUCUCUUGGUCCGAUACUGACGCUGAGGCGCGAAAGCGUGGGGAGCAAACA